rnacentral:rRNA from 1 species
UACGUAGGGUGCAAGCGUUGUCCGGAAUUAUUGGGUGUAAAGAGCUCGUAGGCGGUUCGUCGCGUCGGCUGUGAAAUCCCGGAGCUCAACUCCGGGUCUGCAGUCGAUACGGGCGGACUCGAGUUCGGCAGGGGAGACUGGAAUUCCUGGUGUAGCGGUGAAAUGCGCAGAUAUCAGGAGGAACACCGGUGGCGAAGGCGGGUCUCUGGGCCGAUACUGACGCUGAGGAGCGAAAGCGUGGGGAGCGAACAGG